AUAUAUAAAAUAAAUACUCUAAAAUAACAGAUAAAAAUGUUAUUGUGAGGAAUUUUAUAUUUAUAUCAUGAUUAUUAUAAGUAAUGACAGUAUUUAAAAACACAUAUUAGUAUAUCACAUUUGCUAGCAUAUGCAUAACACAAAUUGUGAAAGCAAUAUUAGUAAUAAAUUCAAAGAAAUUGUUAUUUCUAUAACUUAACUUCGAUUAUUAAUGGCGCUUAAUGUAAACAACGAUGGUAAGAAAUUAUAAAAGAAAGAUAAAUCAUCCGAAAUGGGAUAAAAUGCAGUUUUAGUUGUGAAUAAAAAGGAACUUAGAAUUCAAAAAGCUGCUGAUACAUAAAGCAUAUUUAAAUUUACUCUACAUUGGCAUAUUGCUAUUAAGCCAGCUCAUCAAAAAUGUUACCAAAUAGUUUCAGGAUAUUUCUUGUGUGAUAUAUGUGAUCCAUAAUAUUUUUUGUUUAAUUUUAAAUUUAGUAGUAGUACCAAUUUAAUAAUUACCAGUUACCAAUUUAAUAAUUACCAGUUACCAAUUUAAAUAACUACCAGUUACCAAUUUAAUAAUUACCAGUUACCAAUUUAAUAAUAUUUACUAGUUUUGCUCUACUUAAAUUUUAGAACAAUUUCUUAAGUUUUUUUGUUUUUGUAUUUAAUAAUAAAACACAAAAAGUUUUUUUUAUUUUAGUUGCUAUCCCUUUUUUGUGGUGUACGGGUGCGCGGCGCGUAUUUUGUAUAGAUGUAUUACUUUUUUGAGACUUUAAUGUCUGAACAUUUUAAAUGA